rnacentral:tRNA from 1 species
GGAGAGAUGCUCGAGCGGCUGAAGAGGCACGCCUGGAAAGCGUGUAUACGCCAAAAGCGUAUCGCGGGUUCGAAUCCCGCUUUCUCCG